UGAGGGAAUAUUUGGGGUCAAUGGACGAAAGUCUGAACCAGCCAUGCCGCGUGAAGGAAUAAAGGCCCUAUGGGUCGUAAACUUCUUUUGUAUGUGAGCAAUAAGGUCCACGAGUGGUCCGAUGAGAGUAGCAUACGAAUAAGCAUCGGCUAACUCCGUGCCAGCAGCCGCGGUAAUACGGAGGAUGCAAGCGUUAUCCGGAUUCAUUGGGUUUAAAGGGUGCGUAGGCGGCUUGGUAAGUCAGCGGUGAAAUUCCAGUGCUCAACAUUGGCCGUGCCGUUGAUACUGCUGGGCUUGAAUGCGGAUGCCGUGGGAGGAAUGUGUGGUGUAGCGGUGAAAUGCAUAGAUAUCACACAGAACACCGAUUGCGAAGGCAU
rnacentral:rRNA from 1 species